rnacentral:rRNA from 1 species
GAAAGGGUCGACCGACCCUUCGGGGAGCUUGCACAGGUGCUGCAUGGCUGUCGUCAGCUCGUGUCGUGAGAUGUUCGGUUAAGUCCGCUAACGAGCGCAACCCUCGCUGUGUGUUAUAUGUGUCACACGGGACUGCCGGUCUUAAGCCGGAGGAAGUGGGAUGAUGUCAAGUCAGCAUGGCCUUUAUAUCCUGGGCUACACACACGCUACAAUGGCCAACACAAUAGGUUGCUAAGCCGCGAGGUGGCGCCAAUCCAUAAAGUUGGUCUCAGUUCAGAUUGUAGGCUGCAACCCGCCUGCAUGAAGAUGGAGUUGCUAGUAACCGCAGGUCAGCUAUACUGCGGUGAAUACGUUCCCGGGGCUU